UACGAAGGGGGCUAGCGUUGCUCGGAAUUACUGGGCGUAAAGGGCGCGUAGGCGGAUGACACAGUCAGAUGUGAAAUUCCCGGGCUUAACCUGGGGGCUGCAUUUGAUACGUGUUGUCUAGAGUGAGGAAGAGGGUUGUGGAAUUCCCAGUGUAGAGGUGAAAUUCGUAGAUAUUGGGAAGAACACCGGUGGCGAAGGCGGCAACCUGGUCCUUGACUGAUGCUGAGGCGCGAAAGCGUGGGGAGCAAACAGG
rnacentral:rRNA from 1 species